UUAACACCCUCUGCAAAAUCCUCCAGAAUUUUGUAGUCAACGUGCUUAAACCUCCACCCGGGGCGUCCACCAUCUCUUCGCUGUGCUAAAACAUAUUUCGUUGAAUCUUUGUGUUGGAUUGAAGUCGUCUCGUUGAACCUCGAUAUGUCUCGGCCUAGCUUAGCUUCGUUUAGCUUGCUAGCAUCUAACGGAGAGGCGCUCGUGCUCAACACAGAGCUCCGCAGAGAUCGUAAGCGUAAAGUGUUGUAAUUUUCGUGUGAAAAUGUGCGCAAGAAAGACAGCAGUGUACGAGGAGGAACUCUGUGAAGAAAAAGAGGACCACAAGGGACAACGUCAACUGCUGGACGCCAUUCGCAGGAUGCAGCCAAGAGUUGUUCUUCACAGAUUAGGUUGGGUUACGCUGUUCGUCUCACUUGUUUCGUACUCUUUCUGAACAUCCUUCAUUUGCUGUCUUUCUUUUACGCAGUGUGUGUGUAUAUGUGUGACAUGGGUAACAACUGUGACGGUCUCGAGCUCCACGUCUCUGCCGCCUCAAUAAGACCAGACACUGGGAUGUGGCUUUUUCUCUCUUUUUAUUACUGAAAAACAGCAUGGCAGGAAGAAUGGUGAAGUCGCAUUGGGGUCUCGGACAUAACUGAGCAUCAGAAAAGCACUAUUAACUCAACGGGUAAAAACUUCCAUUCGACAAAACUUAAAUAACAACACAAAAAGCAAUUUGGACUCGGGAC